AGUGAACGCUGGCGGUAGGCCUAACACAUGCAAGUCGAACGGCAGCACAGGAGAGCUUGCUCUCUGGGUGGCGAGUGGCGGACGGGUGAGGAAUACAUCGGAAUCUGCCCAGUCGUGGGGGAUAACGUAGGGAAACUUACGCUAAUACCGCAUACGACCUUCGGGUGAAAGAGGGGGAUCGCAAGACCUCUCGCGAUUGGAUGAGCCGAUGUCGGAUUAGCUAGUUGGCGGGGUAAUGGCCCACCAAGGCGACGAUCCGUAGCUGGUCUGAGAGGAUGAUCAGCCACACUGGAACUGAGACACGGUCCAGACUCCUACGGGAGGCAGCAGUGGGGAAUAUUGGACAACGGGCGCAAGCCUGAUCCAGCCAUACCGCGUGGGUGAAGAAGGCCUUCGGGUUGUAAAGCCCUUUUGUUGGGAAAGAAAUCUUUCAGGCUAAUACCCUGGGAGGAUGACGGUACCCAAAGAAUAAGCACCGGCUAACUUCGUG
rnacentral:rRNA from 1 species